rnacentral:rRNA from 1 species
CUAGCGACUUCAGAGUUUGAUCCUGGCUCAGGAUGAACGCUGGCGGCGUGCUUAACACAUGCAAGUCGAACGGACUGUACUUCGGUACAGUUAGUGGCGGACGGGUGAGUAACGCGUGGGUAACCUGUCUCACACUGGGGGAUAACAGUUAGAAAUAGCUGCUAAUACCGCAUAAGCGCACAGGGCCGCAUGGCCUGGUGUGAAAAACUCCGGUGGUGUGAGAUGGACCCGCGUCUGAUUAGGUAGUUGGUGAGGUAACGGCUCACCAAGCCGACGAUCAGUAGCCGGCCUGAGAGGGUGAACGGCCACAUUGGGACUGAGACACGGCCCAA